GCCUUGGUGGUGUAGUGGUAGAGCACGCGUCCCCGAAUAGGACGAAACGCGGGUUCGAUUCCAGCCUGUUGAGGCC